UUGAAAAAUCGACGGUUAUAAUAUAACAGUAAUUUGCUAAACAAAAUGAAAUUUUGCCUUCGGAGAUUAAGAAAUAGGCCUAGGAUACGAAAGACAUUACAACGCAUCAGCAACUGUUUCAUCAUCCAAUUAAAAUCUAGCAACGUCACUCGUGCAAGCCUUCAAAUACGCUGGUGAACGGUUUAAUUGGGAAAUUGGCGAAGCGAAGAAAAGUUGAUAGGCCUACUGAAGGCCGCGUUUUUAAAGAGAAAUGGAUGGAGGAUUACUUUUUUGUGGAAGUGAAAUACAAGCCCGUUUGCUUAAUUUGUGGAGAAGCUCUUCUCAAAAAGAGCAAUCUUGAAAGAUACACCUGCUGACGUCCAAGUUAUGCUACCCUUGAAUUAACAGUGGGAGCGGAAAAAUUCAAGGCGUUGAGGAAUAAUAUCGCUGCACAACAAGCGUCUUUCUUGCGGCCUAAAAAAGAGCUGGACAGUGUCACGUAGGCAAAACAACCGUCACUAAAAGCCUGGCACAGCAACGUGGAUCUUCUGGAUUUCUACAAGCAAAUCAUAAGCGUUGGCGAAUUUUCGAGUUUGAGGAAAUACGCGUUGAGGAUAGCAUCACUGUUCGGAACCACAUACCGCGGUGAACAGUUCUUCUCCAAACUCUCACUUGCAAAGCACAGGCUUCGUUCCAGACUCACAGACAUAAAUUUGGGAGAGCAAGCUCCGUAUGGCAACAUCAGUAGACCUACCAACAGACAUUCCACAACUGGUUGAAGCAAAGUGUAGUCAACCACCACAUUGAAUUUCAGCUUAUCUACAUUCUACCAUCAUCCUCCUUCCAACUGCAAGAAAAAUUUUCCAUACUUUAAUAAAAAAUAAAUAAUAAGCACUGAUGAAGACAAAAUGAAAAAAAAUGGGCGUGUUGGUCAGGUGGGAGAGCUGUCGAUGUACCAUCAUGGGAAAGACAACAGCCGCUGCAGAGGCCUUGAUGACCCAGAGCAUCACCAGGCAGGAGAGCUGCACCAGGGUGAAGAUGUGCACCUUCCACAAGGGGACGUAGCGCAGGUAGAUCAGGUCCGGCUGGUGCUUCGCCGGCAUGCCGAACAGCUUGAUCCGAUCAAAGAACUUCAAAGCAAAAAGAGAAGACAACGCAUUAAUGAGUGAUGUGAGAAACUGAAGACAUCCACUGGUGGGAAAGGUCAAGGCUUCAGUGAUGAAGGACUCCAAAUAUACUGCCAUUGUUCAGCAAAAAGAAAAGCAACACAUGAGGCGACCAACUGUCCAAGCUUCUUAACAAGAUCUUCAUUUAAUCCUCAGGAUAUCCUCUCUCAGACAAAGCCAACAGUUCAGCCGCCUUCUAAUAACGGUGCUGGAAGCAACCUGGAGCUAAAGGCUAAUAUUGGCAUAACCCCCACCGCCCCCGGAGAAUCUGUGGAUUGCACUCUUACCUGAAUGCCUUUCAGAGAAGAGGCUCCCAUGUAAAGAAAGACGCCAUAUAAAACUGGCAUGGGAAUGAACUGAGGAGAGGCAAGGACAUAAAACAGAAAAGUUCAAAACAUAUACAGACACCAACAUUACAAUAAGUUCCGCUAUUAUUUCUUAUGCGGUCCUAUAUUUUUGACGCUGAAUGACACUAAAGCUGUUUAGGUCAUAGCUUUUAUACGAAAAACAGCACAAAGAGGUUUUCAAAAAACGCCGAUCAGGUGUUGCGCCUCAACCGUACAGGCCUACAGAAUUCCCUCUCACCUUGAGAACGGAGGUCAUGAAGACGGACAGGCCCAUGAGGACGAAGAUCAUAAGGCCGGUCACUCUCUGCUCCCGGAUGCCCAGGAACUUGGGCUGCUCCCCGGGGGCGGAGCAGGCCGACUCCACCUUCAGGCUGUUGACGUGGGAGAUGGAGAGGACGGUGGCCGCCACGAACCAGGGCAGGCCCAUGAUGGAGCACACACCCAGCAUCAGAGACACCACCAGGAGGUCCAGGUGGUACCCACCGCCUUUCUGUGGGCCAGGAGCAGCUGGGUGAACGUUAGCGCGACACAGGCAGGUAUGGCACAGCACAGCAGGGUUACAGCACGGCACAGAGGAUGAGCACAGCACAAAAAGAGCACAGCACAGUUACAGCACAGGUCACAGUGGACAGCACAGCACCGAGAGCACAGUAAAGAAGGUACUGUACAUCACAGAGUGUAUUGCACAUUACUGAGAUUGUGCAAGAUGAUGAAUUAGCACAGGAAAAAUGGGAAUUGGUUGCACUGGAAGGACAGGGUGUAUGUGGUGUAGAAGACGUCUCCUCACCUUCAGUUUGUGCUCCUUGCGGUUGAUGAUGACGGCGGUGAUCUGCUGGUCCAUGAAGAUGAGGAUGGUGCAUAGCAGCGCAGGGACGAAUGCUGCCAGGACCGUCCACCAGGGGUUCUCUCCCAGAGGAUCAAUCAGCCAUCCCCGGUGCUUAGAGGUGGGCUGCAGGGCACGGUGUGACAUCACAAAUUACACUGGAACCCUCAGGGACCAAAUGUACCACAGCAGGCAAUCACCAGCCUGAUGCAAUCCCUGACCUCAUCAGCACACUGAAAAGAGACGCUAGGCCAGAAUCCACGUUCUCACGUUUACUCAAGGCUUUCACUAUAUCUGGGACAAGGGCAGGCAUUGGGCUGACUGCCACGGAAUGCCCUUUGCUGGCAGCCACUGUCUGCGUGAUUCUGUUACUGUAUGUUAUUCAAUAGCAUAAUAAAUCACAGAGACAGAUUCUGCACUGGACUUAAGAGUGCUUUGAUUUGUUUACCUACUAUGCAAUAGGACACAAAUUAGUGACAAAAUAGUCACAGGCAUAACUCAUGUCCCAGUCACAGGAAUCAAACCUGGCUAUGUUUCUAAACAACCCUGGAGACAGACCAUCAUUACCUCAAAGCGGUCAGGAACAUUCAGUUUUGGAGAGGGGACCCCAACCAGGUAAUCCACCAGUACCAUGAUCAUUAUUGUGAGAAACACCGCAAAA